AAUAAGAUGCCUGAUUAAAAGGAUUAUCUUGAUAGGAUAAAAAAUGUAUUUAUACUCUUAUUA
rnacentral:tRNA from 1 species